CCCUCUCCCUCACAUCUAUUGGACAGCGUGUAUACAAUAUGCGCGCAACUCCAACAACAAUAAUUAGUGAAUACAAACUACACCGGGCAUUAUAUUAAUAAUAUAUACGCGCAGCGUGUGUAUAUGACAUUGUUCUCGGUAUUGUUUGCCGCGGCGCACGAUGCACUUAACGGUCAACGUCAGUAAGGACGCCACAAUAAUUAUUAUUAUUAUGUAUAAGUAUGGAGGUACCACUGCAGCGGGUAACGAUUUUAGACGUAU